AACGAACGCUGGCGGCAGGCUUAACACAUGCAAGUCGAACGCAUCCUUCGGGGUGAGUGGCAGACGGGUGAGUAACGCGUGGGAACGUGCCCUUCAGUUCGGGAUAACCCAGGGAAACUUGGGCUAAUACCGGAUACGUGCGGGAGCAGAAAGAUUUAUCGCUGAAGGAUCGGCCCGCGUCUGAUUAGCUAGUUGGUGGGGUAAUGGCCCACCAAGGCGACGAUCAGUAGCUGGUCUGAGGGGAUGAUCAGCCACAUUGGGACUGAGACACGGCCCAAACUCCUACGGGAGGCAGCAGUGGGGAAUAUUGGACAAUGGGCGCAAGCCUGAUCCAGCCAUGCCGCGUGAGUGAUGAAGGCCUUAGGGUUGUAAAGCUCUUUCGUCCGGGACGAUAAUGACGGUACCGGAAGAAGAAGCCCCGGCUAACUACGUGCCAGCCGCCGCGGUAA
rnacentral:rRNA from 1 species